AGCAGCCGCGGUAAUUCCAGCUCCAAUAGCGUAUAUUAAAGUUGCUGCAGUUAAAAAGCUCGUAGUUGAAUUUCGGGACUAAUAUGUCGGUCGUGCCUCGGUACGUACUGGCAUUGUUGGUUUCUCCCUUCUGACGAACCAUGAUGUCAUUUAUUUGGUGUCGUGGGAAAUCAGGACUGUUUACUUUAGAAAAAUUUAGAGUGUUUAAAGCAGGCUCACGCUUGAAUACAUUAGCAUGGAAUAAUGAAAUAGGACGUUUGAUUCUAUUUUGUUGGUUUCUAGGAUCGACGUAAUGAUUAAUAGGGAUAGUUGGGGGCAUUAGUAUUCAAUUGUCAGAGGUGAAAUUCUUGGAUUUAUUGAAGACUAACUACUGCGAAAGCAUUUGCCAAGGAUGUUUUCAUUAAUCAAGUACGAAAGUUAGGGGAUCGAAGACGAUCAGAUACCGUCGUAGUCUUAACCAUAAA
rnacentral:rRNA from 1 species